rnacentral:rRNA from 1 species
UACAGAGGGGGCAAGCGUUGUUCGGAAUUACUGGGCGUAAAGGGCGCGUAGGCGGCCUUCUAAGUCGAACGUGAAAUCCCCGGGCUCAACCCGGGAACUGCGUCCGAUACUGGAAGGCUUGAAUCCGGGAGAGGGAUGCGGAAUUCCAGGUGUAGCGGUGAAAUGCGUAGAUAUCAAGUGGAACACCAGUGGCGAAGGCGAGUCCCUGGACAACUCCUGACACUGAGGCACGAAAGCUAGGGGAGCAAACAGG